rnacentral:rRNA from 1 species
UACAGAGGUCUCAAGCGUUGUUCGGAUUCAUUGGGCGUAAAGGGUGCGUAGGCGGCCCUGUAAGUCCGUUGUGAAAGUCAAAGGCUCAACCUUUGAAAGCCGAUGGAUACUGCAGGGCUAGAGUCCGGAAGAGGCGAGUGGAAUUCCUGGUGUAGCGGUGGAAUGCGCAGAUAUCAGGAGGAACACCAAUAGCGAAGGCAGCUCGCUGGGACGGUACUGACGCUAAGGCGCGAAAGCGUGGGGAGCGAACAGG